rnacentral:rRNA from 1 species
UACGGGGGGGGCAAGCGUUGUUCGGAAUUACUGGGCGUAAAGGGCGCGUAGGCGGCCUUCUAAGUCGAACGUGAAAUCCCCGGGCUCAACCCGGGAACUGCGUCCGAUACUGGAAGGCUUGAAUCCGGGAGAGGGAUGUGGAAUUCCAGGUGUAGCGGUGAAAUGCGUAGAUAUCUGGAGGAACACCGGUGGCGAAGGCGGCAUCCUGGACCGACACUGACGCUGAGACGCGAAAGCGUGGGGAGCAAACAGG